UUUUUUCUUUAAAUGUCCUUUUAGGCUUGUCAAAUUGCCUCUAAGUUUGGCUGCUCAUCCGCCAACACCGUGAACACCAGGUGUGGCAGUGUUGUUCUCGACUUCAUGAUGAGGUUCAAUCGAAGUGUAGUUGUCAGCAAUGUUUUGACUGUCCUGUUUGAUGCUGCAAUGGAAGACAAAUUCGGAGGUUUUAAAGUCGAUCCAGAAUCAAUUAAACAAGUUUUUAUACCCACAGACGGCUCGGAAAGCACAACAAAAGGUCCUGAGGAAUGUAACU